UACGAAGGGGGCAAGCGUUGUUCGGAAUUACUGGGCGUAAAGGGCGCGUAGGCGGCUUAUCAAGUCAGGCGUGAAAUUCCCGGGCUCAACCUGGGGGCUGCGCUUGAUACUGAUGAGCUUGAAUGCGGGAGAGGAUAGUGGAAUUCCCAGUGUAGAGGUGAAAUUCGUAGAUAUUGGGAAGAACACCGGUGGCGAAGGCGGCCAACUGGACCACAACUGACGCUGAGGCGCGAAAGCGUGGGGAGCAAACAGG
rnacentral:rRNA from 1 species